rnacentral:rRNA from 1 species
GACGAACCGUACGAACGUUAUUCGGAAUCACUGGGCUUAAAGGGUGCGUAGGCGGCGCGGAAAGUUGGGUGUGAAAGCCCUCGGCUCAACCGAGGAAUUGCGCCCAAAACUUCCGUGCUUGAGGGAGACAGAGGUGAGCGGAACUUAGGGUGGAGCGGUGAAAUGCGUUGAUAUCCUAAGGAACACCGGUGGCGAAAGCGGCUCACUGGGUCUCUUCUGACGCUGAGGCACGAAAGCUAGGGGAGCGAACGGG